AGAGACAACAGAUUUACAUCCCAGACACAUUCACGCUGGGCCAAGAGCAGCUGCCAUUGCAGAUUUGAGUCAUGUACAUUUCUCCCUCCUCCUUCCUGGGGUUGGAACAGAAGCUGGGGCAGUGAGAGUGCAGAAAGGACAUGGAUGAAGCAGGGAGGGACGUGCCAGUCCCACUCGCCUCUGGCUCUGCUGCGUCUAGGACCAGGCCAGCACACAGCAGGAGCCCGAGAAAUAUUUAUUAAAGAAAUGAAAGUCAGGUGACAGAAGGUAGGAGGAGGGAGACCCCUCAAAGAGCUCCCCAUCCAUCCUGCUGAGAGGCACCUCCACCACUCAGUAAAACCCCUGCAUUCAUCCUUCAAGUCUGAGUGUGACCUGAUUCUCUCUGGACGCUGGACAAAGACCUAGGUACCAAAAGGGUCUAACACUUAAGUCAUCCAUGGAUAGCAAGGCUAACAGAACACUGUAACAUGUGUCCACUUGGGGGCUGGGAGUUGCAGACACCCACCCAUAGAUGCUACCAUGGGGCCAGAGCCCAAAAGCACUUGCCCUGACUCCUGCACCUGCCUGUCUGCAUGCUUCCCCCUGUAAAGGGUUUGAACAUGUGGCGGCUGAACAUAAGAGCCACGCCUCUGCCACACGUCAUGGGAUGGGGGGUCAUGGGAUGGGGGUCAGGGAACGCUCCCAUUUCACUUUUAAAUAUUCUAGGCCCCCUUUUUGUUUGGGAGCCAGAAUCUAGGACAGACAGAUAGAAAGCCUGAAAUAGGAUCCAGGCAAUAUAAACCUACAUGCUGUAGGC